UACUCAAUGGUCUUGAGAACAGUUUGUGAA
rnacentral:piRNA from 1 species